UACGUAGGUGGCGAGCGUUGUCCGGAAUUACUGGGCGUAAAGAGCGCGCAGGCGGCUGGUCAAGUCCGACGUGAAAUCUCCCGGCUUAACUGGGAAAUUGCAUCGGAAACUGAUCGGCUUGAAGGUGGGAGAGGGUAGCGGAAUUCCCGGUGUAGUGGUGAAAUGCGUAGAGAUCGGAAGGAACGUCAAUGGCGAAGGCAGCCACCUGGCAUAAUACUGACGCUGAGGCGCGAAAGCGUGGGGAGCGAACAGG
rnacentral:rRNA from 1 species